rnacentral:ncRNA from 2 species
UACAUCCUCGGAGGAGCACAGCAUAUAUUUAAGUUGUUGCAGUCAAAAAGCUCGUAGUUGGACUUUGGGAUGGGACGGACGGUCUGCCCUAAGUGUGCACCGAUUUUCUCGUCCCUUCUGUCGGCGAUGCGCAUCUGGCCCUAAUUGGCCCUUGGGCGGCGCGCAACAACGGGGAUAGCAUUCUCCUUGCAACAAAGGCUUUAGCGUCGGCGCACGGCAUCUCAUGUUCUGGUACUUUGAAGAAAUUAAAGUGCUCAAAGACAGCCUACGCUCUGUUUACAUUAGCAUGGGAUAGCAUUAUAGGAUUUCGGUCCUAUUCCGUUGGCCUUCAGGAUCGGAGUAAUGAUUAACACAGAUAGUCGGGGGCAUUCGUAUUUCAUAGUCAAAGGUGAAAUUCUUGGAUUUAUGAUAGACGAACAACUGCGAAAGCAUUUCCCAAGGAUGUUUUCAUUAAUAAAGAACGAAAGUUGGGGGUUCGAAGACGAUAAUAUACCAUCCUACUCUCAACCAUAAUAGAUGCCGACCAGGGAUCGUUGGAUGUUUCUUUUAGGACUCCGCCUGCACCUUAUGAGAAAUCAAAGUAUUUGGGUUCCGGGGGGAGUAUGGUUGCAAGGCUCAAACUUAAAGGAAUUGACGGAGGGCACCACCAGGUGUGGAGCCUGCAGAUUAAUUUGACUGAGUUGUUUCUUGAUUCUAUGGGUGGUGGCGCAUGGCCGUUCUUAGUUGGGGGAGCGAUUUGUCUGGUUAAUUUCGUUAACGAACGAGACCUCAGCCUGUUAAUUAGCUAUGCGGAGGUAUCCCUUCGCAACAAACUUCUUAGAGGGACUAUGGCCUUUUAGGCCGCGAAAGUUUGAGGCAAUAAAAGGUCAGUAACGCACGCGCGCUACACUGAUGUAUUCAACGAGCUUAUAGCCUUGGCCGACAGGCCCGGGUAAUCUUUGAAAUUUCAUCGUGAUGGGGAUAGAUCAUUGCAAUUGUUGGUCUUCAACGAGGAAUUCCUAGUAAGCGCGAGUCAUCAGCUCGCGUUGACUACGUCCCUGCCCUUUGUACACACCGCCCGUCGCUCCUACCGAUUGAAUGAUCCGGUGAAAUGUUCGGAUCGCGGCGACGUGGGCGGUUCGCUGCCCGCGACGUCGCGAGAAGUCCAUUGAACCUUAUCAUUUAGAGGAAGGAGAAGUCGUAACAAGGUUUCCGUAGGUGAACCUGCGGAAGGAUCAUUG